rnacentral:lncRNA from 1 species
CUGCAGUUAAGGAAGAGUUUUCAAAGCCCGGUGUGUUCCCAUUAACAAAAACAAAAAGGAAUUAGCAAUUGUGAGAACAUGAUUUGAAUGGCAGCCUCAGUUAAAUGCCAGCCUUUAUAUUCCUACAGAGAGAGUCAGCUGCACAGUCUGAUGACAAACAGAGCAGCAUGAAGCUGAAAGACUUGGCACAAAACAGCAAAUGUCUGAGCAGCCCCUGCAAAGGGACCAGAAACGAAUGGCAGAGGGAAGAGAGCACUUCAUGGCAUUGGUGAUGCCAAUGAGUACUGCUUGGUUGGCUUCUUCCAAACACUCAUGUUUUUUUGGAAGUCCUGUGACUCAUAGAAGUAGAAAAUAG